rnacentral:rRNA from 1 species
UACGUAGGGGGCAAGCGUUGUCCGGAAUUACUGGGCGUAAAGGGCUCGUAGGCGGCCAACUAAGUCGGAUGUGAAAUCCCCAGGCUUAACCUGGGAACUGCAUCCGAUACUGGAUGGCUUGAAUCCGGGAGAGGGAUGCAGAAUUCCAGGUGUAGCGGUGAAAUGCGUAGAUAUCUGGAGGAAUACCGGUGGCGAAGGCGGCCUGCUGGGCAGUAGCUGACACUGAGGCGCGACAGCGUGGGGAGCAAACAGG